rnacentral:lncRNA from 1 species
GCUGGAUCGGAUCUCCAACUACUUCUUUGUUCUCCCCCCACCCCUUCCCUAACUGGAUCGGUGUUGGAAAAUAUGUCUCAAAAGCCAAUCGUCAGUCUGUUGACGGUUGAGCAAUUUUAUAUUGUAAUUAAUUUGUUAAUAUAUAAAAUAUAUUUUUGAUAUUUUCAUCAUAAGUUUUUAUCUUCUAAUGAACUCUGUUGUUGUGAUGAA